rnacentral:rRNA from 1 species
CCUACGGGGGGCAGCAGUGGGGAAUAUUGCACAAUGGGGGAAACCCUGAUGCAGCGACGCCGCGUGAGGGAAGAAGGAAUUCGUUAUGUAAAGCUCUAUCGUCAGGGAAGAAAAUGACGGUACCUGAGGAAGAAGCACCGGCUAACUACGUGCCAGCAGCCGCGGUAAUACGUAGGGGGCAAGCGUUAUCCGGAUUUACUGGGCGUAAAGGGAGCGUAGACGGCAGUGCAAGUCUGAUGUGAAAUGCGGGGGCUUAACCACCGGACUGCGUGUGAAACUGUACGGCUGGAGUGCGGGAGAGGUAAGUGGAAUUCCUAGUGUAGCGGUAAAAUCCGUAGAGAUUAGGAGGAAUACCAGUGGCGAAGGCGGCUUACUGGACUGUAACUGACGUUGAGGCUCGAAAGCGUGGGGAGCAAACAGGAUUAGAUACCCUGGUAGUC